GAUGAACGCUGGCGGCGUGCCUAACACAUGCAAGUCGAGCGAACAUACGAGUUGCUUGGCCGACUGAUGAUAACCGCGUACGGAAGAGUACCACGAGGUUAACCUACCUUUUAGACAGGAAUAAUAAUAGGAAAUCGUAGCUAAUACUGGCUACGAUUUUGAAUCAAAUGGUUAAAUGGUGUGAGACGGCUUUGCUUCCCCUUAUCGAUGGAUCCACGUCGCAUUGGACAGUUGGUAAGGUAGAGGCUCACCAAGGCAACGUGACGUAGCAGACAGGAGAGGGUGGGCGGCCACCCUGGGAGGGAGACCGGGUCCAGACUCAUACGGGAGGCAGCAGUAGGGAAUCGGGCGGAAGGGGCGAAGGCUUGACGAAGCAGCGCCACGUGAGUGAUGAAGGUCUUCGGAUCGUAAAACGCUGUUAUUCGGAAAGAAAAAUGGUGUAAGUAGCUAUGAACGUCUUGACGGUACCUAAACAAAAAGCCACGGCUAACUACGUG
rnacentral:rRNA from 1 species